rnacentral:lncRNA from 10 species
CCUGAAAGUCCUGUCCGUGAAAACUGACAAAGAAAACUUGAUUUAAAAGGCGUCUUCUGAUAAACCUCAGCAUCUCCUUACUAACAUACUAAGAGCAAUCACUGAACACUUUUCGUAUGUUCAAUGCGUCCUCGCGGGAUCUGAGAAGCAUUGUCCUAUUAAAUCUCAGUCGUCUGAUUUUCAGCAUCAAUUUAUCUUGGGAGCUGCUCCUGCAUUUUAUAAGGUGAAUUCUACAGCAACGAGAUUAAAGAUUCAGAAAGUCUUAUUGGCUGUGCAAACUUGAGGGAGUUGCCUAACCACUCUGGGCCCUGUUUUCCUGGCUUUGCCACUCUUCAGCUGUGUGACCCGGGGAAGCUCUCAACCUCUUUGUGCCUCCAUUUCCACAUCUGUAAAAUGGGGAUAUGAAAGUGGCUGCUUUGUGAAGAGUCCUGAGAAUAAAUGAGUUAAGGAAAACUGAUAUGGAUAAAUAUGGAAGAGAGCUGGCCAGUGGAUGAAAUGGUGAUGUAAAGGUGAGCUUUGCGGAAGAGUGGAGAAAAGAGAUUGGCACUGAAGUGGGCAGUGAAAGAGCAAGAGGCUUGUGGGAGACUUGAUUUCAGAGGCAGCGUUUGGAUGGUUAUGAACAGGCUUUCCUCUUCUUUCAGGGGUACCGUAAAGAUCAGAAUUAAUAGUAUGACUAUUUGGUUUGGAGGCUGUUUCAUUAAGUAUUACACUGUGGAGAGACUGGAUCACAUGGGUCAUAUUAUUUAUUCAGGUUACAUUCACACUCCCUGUGAAUUCCCACCCUAUGCAAACUGGCAAGAAAACGCUAUUUUAAAAGAUUCUUGAACGCUUUUGUAUCUUUCUUAAGACUUUUGUAUACAGCACUGUUCACAUAGUAGGUAGUCAAAAUUAGUGAGAAAGACUCAAGCAAAAAGUUUAUUUGGAUUUCCAUAUGAUUUAUAAGCCAAGACGCUAUAAUCCAAAGAGGCAGGAAAAUGAUGUAAACUAGAAAUAAAAAUAUUUGUAAGUGACAAUGUGUCCUGAAUUCUUUGACAGGUUAAGAGAAAUAAAAGCAGGAGACGAGGAGAGAGUCACACCACGGCUCUGCAGCCCACACCACCUUGGAACCAAACAGGGAGGUGGCAGAACUGAUGGGCUGGCCGCACCACCUUAAAUCUCUUAGCUCCAAAACUGGAGGUGCUCAUCAGGACCCUGCAUCAUUUCUGUGGGUGAUGGAUGGUGUGAGGUAAGGCACAGAGAUCUAGACUUAUUUCUCCUUCCACAACAAUUGUUUCUUGGAAGAGGAAGAAAACUUAGCUGGAUUUUAUCUCUUUGUGUGGAUUUCUGGGGUAGACACCCAGAGGUGUGUGCAGGAGCAUGCUCUUUGGGGCCCACAUAGAGAUUCCAGCAGGUGCUGGAGAUUCUGGGGUAGCCUUUCCAUGACUGCUGGCCUCUUUUCCCCUGUGUUGCUUUGGUUUGCUGUCUGGCUAAAGGCAGGAGUGGGAGAAACUCACAUUCCACAAGAGGCUGCCUGGAGCAGAGGCCAAGAGGGUAAGGUUUGUCCAAGGCCUUCCAUCUCAGCUUUGCUGCCAAUUUGUCAGAAAAAAAAUCAUUUGUGCCAAUUAGACCCUGGUUAGGAAAGUGUUGUCCUGUCUGGGAAGCAGGUACAGAAACCAGUUGCAAGGACAGGAGAUCAAUGAAAGUGACACAUUACUUAUGCCUCCAAUUCUUCUCAGCCCUCAAUUUAGUCUCUGAGACACAGAGAAAAUAAGUGUACUUGCCUUGCUAAUGGGUACAUGGUUGGCUUUGGGCAAUUUAUAUAGAGCACUUUAGUUCCAAGAUGAAAUGCACUGAGAUAUUAGGAUUAGUCUCUGCUUUAAUGAGUUUCUGACUUGCAGGUUUGAAAAAAUUUAGUUCUUUUCUGUAUUUCUCUACAAACACAAAACAAUGAUUUAAUGGUAAAACAACAAUGAAAAGAAACUAGGCCAUUCUCUCCAAAAUGAUUAAAAGGGUACUUCUCCUGACCUGACAUAACCUUUCCUCAUAUGAAUUUAUUAUCUGUAUUCACACUCAUAUUCCACUGGAAUGCCUUGGGUCCAGGUGGAUGGUUGCUUAUGGUUAGUAUCGAUUCUGAGCAGGUAGGCAUUCAUACUGUUUGGUUGACGCCUGUGGUGAACAGACCUUAAGGUGACUUCUUGCACCCCUGAGUCAUUUUCUUGUAUAAUCUCCUCUCUUUGAGGACACAAACUGUGCCCUGCUUCAAACCAGUGGAAUAGAGACAAGGUGAUGAGAUCUUUGGUUAUUGCACCUAACUGCUUCAUUCAUUGCACAAUUAGUCACACGCUGUUUUGUGAUGCAGAACAUUUUUUUUUAAGAGAUGGUAGUCUCACUCUGACACCCAGGUUGGAGUGCAGUGACAUGAUCAGAGCUCACUGCAGCCUCAAACUCCUGGGCUCAAGGGAUCCUCCUGCCUCAGCCUCCUGAGUAGCUGGGACUAGAGGUGCGUGCCACCACACCCAGCUAUUUUUUAUUUUUUGUAGAAAUGGAGUCUCACUUUGUGGCCCAAGCUGGUCUCCAACUCCUGGGCUCAAGUGAUCCUCCCACCUUGGCUUAUCAAAUUGCUGGGAUCACAGGUUUGAGCCACCGUGCUUGGACUGUGAUGCAAAAUUUUAUCUAAACCUUGUAUUGUUGACUAUAGCAUCAUGCACUUACUAUUUUCCCUCUUAACUAGAUUUUAAGUCUCUUGAGGGCAAGAACUCUGUUCUUGAAGAUUUUCAGAAGCCCGAUAGCAUAUGGAAGUACUUGACACACAAUAAGUACACAGUCAUAUGUGAUUUGGUUUCUGAGCCUUCAUUUGUCCAACAAAACCAGAUGGGUCUUAGAUGAAGAUAUACGUGGCAAACACUGCAUGCCUACUGUGGGUCAGGUUAGCUCCCAGACAUGCAGAAAACAAAAGCUCUGUCCUCAGGAGUUCAUGAUGGUUCAACCCAAUCAACGAAGUCUUGCAAUCUCACUUCCUCCUUACCUUGUAGAGUUGGAAGAUAUCCAAAUAUUCCUAGAGUUCUUUGUCAAUCUGUCAGGAUUAUAAUUCCACAGAUCAGGCAGAGUGUAACCAUGAAGCUCUUCAGUGAAUUUUUAGUGACUUUUGGGUGAUUUUUUAGUUUCCAAGUAGAAGAAGCAAAAGACCCUUGUGGUGGUUACCUUCCAUCUAAACAGAGAGUGAGCUACAAAGAUACUGCUGUCCCUCAGUGGCCCAUGGGUGUCCCUGCAAAUCUGUGACUCAAGUGGCCAUAUUCAUAUUAAGCAGACCAGAGAUCAAAACCAUAUUAGGCAUGAACCACUUUUUAUUCAUAGGCUUACCGAAUAUAU